UCUUCAUUGUCCUUCCACCCUCAACCCUGCUCCCACCGGGUAGAAGUUUCUAAGCCCCUGGUGCCCUGGACUCAUGCAUGGAGUCUUCUGGGCAAACAGGUGAAAUAAAAAGAAAUGUGAAGAUGAAAAGAGCGGGCAAGCAAGAGUCGAGGUAGCAAAUCAGCUCUUGGCAUCCUAGGGCCGGCGGCCUGAGAAGCCACAGGAAGCAGGAGGCGAUCUGGAGCUGUACAUCUUCUGGGUAGUGCUUGUUGGGGCUUGCAGGAGGGCUGCAGAUGCCUACCAGUGUCUGUGCAAGACUGCUGAAACUGGCCUCAAACACACCAGGUCCAGCUGGUGCAUCUGCUCUUGGCAUCAAGGUGGCAGGGUCUAACAUUUUAACAUGGAACAGAAACUUGAUGCAGAGGAAGAAGGUUUUGAUGGUAAAAUCAGCUCUACUCUAAGACCAUCGAGAGAACGGGGUGGGCAGGGCUCUCUACCUAGGAUCCUUGGAAGGACUUCAGUCUCUGAUAUUAUAUGAAUUAUUUUAUGCACGGGUAGGUGUGUGUGUUUUCUUUAGGGAGAGGAUCUGUUUAUCCUGGACUCUCUUGGUUGUAUAAGACAGAAACCUUGAACAUAAAGGUAAUUUAUGGGCUUAUUUUUCAUGGGCUCAUACCCA
rnacentral:lncRNA from 12 species